CGAAACUGCAGAAACUCUAUUAGCAAAACGUAUUUCACAUCGGUAUGUCUUAAGAGAUUUACAGUUUGUUUACAACAAUCCCCCCUUUUUGUGUGCAUGAAUGGUACUUUCCAGGAAGUCACAGGAAGUGAAUUUAUUUAUUGCUUAGUGAAAUGACUUGAGAACUAAUGACUGGAGAAGUGGAAAACACACAAACCAUGCUGUUAAACAUGGUGGCUUUUUAAAAAAUAAGAGCCAUAACUGUGUUUACUAACGGCUCCCCCCUGUGGGUAAACAAUCAUGUCAGACUAUAUGAAUGUGUGUGUGGUCAGUAUCCUGAUAUCCUGCUAUCCGUUACAUCUUGUAUUCGGGAAUCUGCUCAGAAGUUACUGUGAUAAUUGGCCAUCAGCCAACAAGAAAGAAAGAUUACACCCGCCUACAGGUUCAUACGAGGACCUCGUCGACACUUUCGGGAGCUUUUUUGGGAUUCGAAAAGGACUGGAUCACAGCUUCCACUUUUGGAGUGUUUUAUGUUGACAGUACUAAGGUACAGGCUCUGACAGCGAAGCUCGCUCAGGGAGUGGGGUUCUCCUGUUAGAAAACAGAGAGACGUCACUGGCGGCAUGCACGGUCCACUCCCCGCAUAUCCAGGAUCAAGGGAAUAAACUACAGAGGGAGAGGCUCCAGGGGAACCUCAUUUGGAGCAGACUGGUGGACAGCAGGAAAACAGAGAUGAGCGUCACAGUGGAGUCUCCAACCUGAGGAGCCUGGAGGUUCCCACUCAGGAGUGGGAGAGGAAUUUAAAUUCAGUUAGAUGUAUUAAUCAAGAAUGAGAGAAUAAAGGAUGAUGUUUGCAAAUGAUAAGAGUACAUCUAUAACAAUAUUCAUUAAAUGACAGGACUGGUGAUGGUCAACAACUGUCAUGAAAACAACAGAACCAA